rnacentral:rRNA from 1 species
AGGAUACGGUUAACGGAGCGUAAGCGACGUUCAACCUCAAAAGAAGCAGAGGGGGCUUAGUGGUGGGGUGACUGCGUACCUUUUGUAUAAUGGGUCAGCGACUUAUAUUCUGUAGCAAGGUUAACCGAAUAGGGGAGCCGGAGGGAAACCGAGUCUUAAUUGGGCGUUAAGUUGCAGGGUAUAGACCCGAAACCCGGUGAUCUAGCCAUGGGCAGGUUGAAGGUUGGGUAACACUAACUGGAGGACCGAACCGAC